rnacentral:rRNA from 1 species
AUGAUUAUGUUGGAACGUGCAUUUAUUUGGCGCCAUGGGUACCGCCCGCAGCUACAUGAAUUAGGUGGACAAUCAAAAUUGGAGCGCCCUGCAACUGUCGUACGUCCACAGGAACGCCGCUGCCGCUGUCAGGAUCACCCAGGGGAUCACCGGCGCGAUCGGAGCCGCCAGGCACACCCAGGGGAUCCGAGCCGGUGUCAACCACCUAUCUGGCCUUACAUACCAGGAAUGGCUAGUUCUUCCAGUAGUUAUGCUGACACAGAAUUGCCACUACCAGACGUAACCAAUCAGGAUUUUUUGGAAGAACUCAGUGUGAAACAUGCAAAUAUGAGGUUAUCGUUCUCACCUUCAAGGAUUGCGCACAUGAUCGACAGAUUAGAUCCCGACCACCAAAAGGCCAUCUGCACUAAAACUGGUCUUGGAGGGCUAACGCAAAUGAAGUCAGUGCUUCUCCGACGUAUUACGUUGGUGCUGCUAGCCAAGAGCUACAUCAGAAAAAAGCAGAGUAUUCACAUUGCUGUUUUGGUAUUGGGAACACAUCCGUGCUGGCUCGCUUAUGUAUUCUCGUAUACCUCGUCCGCUGAUGGCACGGUUAUCACGAAGAUCGGCGAUCUGGAGCCAACCAACAUUACAAAUGACCAGCAUACCAACAAAGACACACAUGCGCAUGAAGAUGCUAGCUAUCAACCACAACCACGAGGUCAAACUAUGAGUAGCCAACAAAUGGACAUGAUAUUUCAAACCCAGAAUGAUCUAUUUGCAGAACAAGAGAAAAAGUUGGUCAAACAAGUAGUAGAAGUAGAGCACAAAUUAGAUAAAAGAAUAAUCACCGUGACCGAGGACGUGAUAAACAUAAGGGGUAAAAUUGCCACUCAAGCUAGGUUGUCCAAGCUGGAGAACGAAGUUGGAGACCUCAAAAGGGAACUCCAGGAAUUAAGAUCCCUAGGUGAAACAAACAAACAAUCAACGAAGAGGAAUGCAUACGUACAGGAACAAGAGCAACCAAGCAAUGACAAGUUUUCAUCAACUCCUGUGUUUGACGCAUGGAAAGCACAGACUUCUGCUGGUACACCUAGUGCAAAACCUGUGGUGCAAAACAAGGAGUUGGACCAAGACAUCCCACCACGGAAGCCUGUAUUCAACAAUGCUUACAUAUUGACAGAUGAAGACUAUGAGGCUGAACUUUUCAUCCGAGGGAGUCACGACCUUGUUGAGCUAGUUCACAUCGAAGACAUUGUGCUAACAGUUCAUCAACUCAAGCCAAAUGUUAGCAAACUAUUCUUCGUCGAUGACAUAAGGCCCGUAUACUGCAAUCUACAUCAAGUGGAGUCCAUCCAGGCGUGUAUCAACGAAGCGGUCGAGGAUGGCUUGGUAACACCGCCUAAACCCAUCAAUAUUACCCAGUGGAAAACCACUUGCUAUACUAACAUACCACAACAAACGGAUGGUUACUCAUGUGGGGCGUACACACUCAAAUACAUGUUGACAUGGGACGGAGACAAAAUUACUGAGGAUUUCACACAGGCAGAAAUACAUAUUUUCAGCUGGCAAAUAUGUUCAAGCCUGCUGCGGUCGGAUUGCAACAAGCUUCGGAAAAAAUCAUACAAGAAUCCUAUAGAGAAGGAUGAGUAUGAAGCCAACUUUCCAGAGGAACGAAAAGGUGCAGACGACGACGUCACGAUUGUCAGCAACCCUGAUGUUACAAACAAACCAGACAUAUUCGGUGCCCCAAAGCGUAAACGUGGACGCCCGAGGAAGAAUGCCCCUCCUAGUAAUCCAGUAAAACAACAAUUUGACACAGAGACUAUCGCUAAACAAGUGGAGUCGAAAAGACGCAAGCGCAAACCAUCAAACGUCGUGUCCAGCCCAUUCGUACAGCCAUGA